GCUGCUUCUUGGCCUUUUGGCUAAGACCAAGUGUAGUAUCUGUUCUUAUCAGUUUAAUAUCUGAUACGUCCUCUAUAUGAGGACCACAUAUUAAAUUGAUUUUUAGAACAGGGAGACGGAAGAGGGGCUUGCUCCAUCCGCUCCACACAUCAAUCCUGGUAUUGCAGUACCUCCGGGAAUGGUGCACCUCCU
ensembl:snRNA U2 U2 spliceosomal RNA